UCUCUCCUCGUCUAGUGGUUAGGAUGUGACCUUGUCAAUUAACAAGAUCCGCAGGAACUUGCAAGAAAACGGUCGAGGCCGGGGUUCGAUUCCCCGGGAGAGAG